GAACCACAGCUUUGGACAAAAGUCUAGAGUCUGUGCGUUGGUAACUCCCGGUGCACGCACAAGGGCUGACUGGGGCUGUGGGAAGACAUUUUACUUAUUUGCCUUCUCCUUUCUUCCAGUCAUCUUGUCCCUCUCCUCAGGUGUUGCUCACCUAUUAUCAUUUCACCUGUCCUGGUCCUCUGUGGGGGAAAAUCCUGGGACUUGUCAGCUGGCCUAGGUCUCAUAAAAGACAGCUCUGUUCAGGGGUUGGAAAGGGGCUCGCGGUGGCAAAGCUAGGCUAGGACUUGGAGGCUUCUGGCAGGCGAGGCGGGUGGAGGAGGAAGGAGGCUGACAGAUCCACUGGGGGGAAGAAAAGCCGAACUGGAUUCACCGUGUCCUGGAUGGAAAAAAGAAGAGGAGGAAAAAGAGAAGGAGGAGGAAGAGGAGGUGGAGGAGGAAGAAGAGGAGGUGGAGGUGGAGGAGGAAGAGAAGGAGGAGGAGGAAGAGGAGAAGGAGGAGGAGGAGGAGGAAGAGAAGGAGGAGGAGGACAGAGAGGGGAACCGCUGAGCUCCUUCAACUCGAGCUGUCCGGUGAGAAGUAAGCAAGCCGGGACUGACAGGAGGCUCGGGGAGCACUCGCCUCCUUUCGCUUUUUUACCUGCCAAUCAAACCGCUAGAAGACAACACCCCGAUCUGGCUUGGACAUGACCUACAAGAUCUAGUGAUGAUGGAGGAGCCUUUGCAGCCUUCCAGAAAAUCAAGGUUCUGAAAAGUGGAAGAAAAAAAAUUGUCCGGGAAGAGUCACAGGAAAGUAACCAUUUUUUCUUCUUUGAAAGCUUGUGGGAAUGCAGUAAUAAUUAAAGAAACCUGGAGUUCAGGAUGCCCAGAUUUCCAAGCAAUUAGAAAGCUGAUUUCAUGGUGUCCCCAGAUGAGCAGCUUUUAAAAUUCUAAUUUCAGGCUGUCCUCCAUAACAAUUCUCAGUGAGAUUCAGUAAACCACGUAAAAUGGUUAGCCAUUUGGGCUUGAACAUCAUUUGGGGAACUUUGUACAAGAUUCCAUCAGGCAGAAAAUGGGGAAGAGAAAGGUCCCCUCCUUUAAUGUCCAUUUUGGUAGAAAUAAAGGGCACAUUGUAUUUUUCUCUCUCAGGUCCUGUUUGAUUCCUGAGCAUCAUCAUGUAUCAUAUACAUUAUUUUCACUAAUACCUUUCAUGAGAGACAGAACUGACAAUUAAUACCCACACCUAUACUACUGCUAAUGUAGUUUCAUUUUCUUUUCCUUUUAAUUCUCCUGUUUAACAAGAAUUUGGGCAAAGCAAACCAAAUACUAUUCCCACAGGAGAAAAACAAACAAAGAAAAGCAGGGGCAUUUUUACUAGUGCAAAAUAACCAUUUUGUUCAUUUUUAUUUUUAAAUUUGAGCAUGCUAAAUUGAUGAAUAUUUCCAAGUUGUUUUCUCUUUCUUAUUUGUAUUUUUUGCUUUUCUUUAAAAAAAAAAAGGGGGGGGGAGAAAUCAGCUAUAAUAACAGCAUUCAAAUAGAUCCAGGAAGUCAGAGUAAAUGCUACAUAUUUUAAGAGCCCAUUGGGGGUGGUGUUUACCAUCCCUGUCAAAUGCUAACUCAGAAAGCUCAGCCCACUCCACCACCACCCCCCCAUUCUAACUUUUGAAUGUUGGGAGACUAUGCAAGUGCAAACCUUUGGGGGCAGGGGUGGAUGUUAAGGGAGCAGGCUUAAUAUUAACAGCUUUUGUGGUCCAAGAGCCCGGUCUAUCAGUUCCUACUGAAGUAGUGCUGAGGACUCAAACACUUUCAUUCUUUAUCUUGCAUCUCUGCAAGGUGGAUUUUAACUUUUUUUUUCUGGAUUUUUUUUUUUUUUAAUUUUC